CCUACGGGGGACAGCAGUGGGGAAUAUUGCUCAAUGGGCGAAAGCCUGACGCAGCGACGCCGCGUGAGGGAUGAAGGUCUUCGGAUCGUUAACCUCUGUCAGCAGGGGAGCACGGUCACUGUCCUAAUCAGCAGUGAAUUGACGGUACCUGCAAAGGAAGCACCGGCUAACUCCGUGCCAGCAGCCGCGGUAAUACGGAGGGUGCGAGCGUUAAUCGGAAUUACUGGGCGUAAAGCGCUCGUAGGCGGUAUGUCAAGUCAAGGGUGAAAUCCCCGCGCUCAACGUGGGAACUGCCUUUGAAACUGGCAAACUGGAGUGUGUGAGAGGAUAGUGGAAUUCCAGGUGGAGGAGUGAAAUCCGUAGAUAUCUGGAGGAACAUCAGUGGCGAAGGCGACUAUCUGGCACAUAACUGACGCUGAGGAGCGAAAGCGUGGGUAGCAAACAGGAGUAGAUACCCGAGUAGUC
rnacentral:rRNA from 1 species